GCGCGGUUGGUCUAGUGGUAUGAUUCUGUACGUUCAAGCCCACAACACCGCAUCACGCCACAACAUGCUAACAACAUCACAGCGCUUAGGGCUCACCCUGAGAACAACAGAAAUGCGAGAGGUCCCCGGUUCAAUCCCGGGAUCGCGCC
rnacentral:tRNA from 1 species